AUUCAGCUUCGGUGUCAUAGUUCUCGAGAUUGUUAGUGGGCCAAGAAACUCUAGCUUUUAUCGAGAGGAUGAUAGCGAGGAUCUCCUACUCUUCGCUUGGAAAAGAUGGACGGAUGGAAGAGCAUUGGAGCUACUCGAUCCAUCACUUGCUGAAUCUUCUUAUUCGGAAAAUGAUGUUGUUAGGAGCAUCAACAUCGGGUUAUUAUGUGUGCAAGAAGAACUUACCCGAGCCGAAAAAACCGUCGUAUUUCUUUCAAAAGGGAUUUUGUUAGAUAGCUCAGGCGACCACGACAAGUCGAAUCCGACAGCUACUUCUGUCAAGGAAUAAUCGGUAACCGAAAUGCAUCCUGAUAACCGAACGAAUUACCAAUCUAUGUGAUUUUUUGGAUUGUGUAUAUAUGUACAUAGAAUUAAAUAUUUAGUAAUAGUUGUGUAUGCUGUGUGAGAAAUGUGAAUCACAUCAAUGAAUCUAAAGAUAUUCUUUUA